rnacentral:lncRNA from 1 species
GAAGAGGAGGAGGAAAGGACCACCCGGCACGUCCUCGUGGUGGUUGCCUCCACUCCUCCAGCCCUUAGCCCAGGGCUGAUGUCAUCUGCAGCAAAUCAUUUCGCCGGCGGCCCGGAAGCUGGAAGGACGAGAUUGUUGGAUGAAAGAUGCAAGAAGUCAAUGAGAUGACUCAGGAGGAAAAAGAACUUGCUGCCAAGCCUGGGGACCUACUAAGUUCGAUCCCAGGAUCCACACAAUGAGAGGAGAGAGCAGACUACCAUAAAUCGUCCUGUGACCUCCAUGCACAUUAGUUAAUUAAUUUUAAUAAGUGCAAUAGAAGAAAGAGCUUCUUCACGGUGGCCCUCUGUCCAAGAAAGCCAUGACCAGGAUCCACCCCAUUCUUUGCCCACCCUUUGCAAUCCAGGGGUAUUAUGGCAGAACACAGACUAACAAUGGCUACUUUACACACUCAACUAACUUGGCUCUUUUGAAUGUCCAGUCCCUUUGUUGCAGAAGUGGAAAGUACUGGAUCUUUGUGACUAUGUGAGGGAAGAGUAAAGGGAAGAGACUUCAGAAGCACCUAACCCAGGCUAGGGAUCAGCCUAAGCAUCAAGGCAUGGGUGAUUAGAUGAUACCCCACCCCCAUUUCCUUAGACAACGGAGUAACGGUAGCCUUACAAAAUAUGUACAGGUGACCCCUCUACCAACACCUCUGGGAGAAAAAAAUAAAAGAAAACCCAACAUGGUCAGCCACUCUUCUAAGUUAGAAAAGUCCCCACUCCCAAGACAAAGGAGACAAUUGUAAAGAGAAGGAAAAUGCACCCACAAGGAAGCCUGCCUCUAUCACCAGCUUUUAGUGACUACACUUGAGUGUCCCAAAGGCUCUGCAAACUCGAUCGGCUCCAGGCCGGAAUCAUCUUCAUCCUCUAGCGCUGAUCUCGCACAUCUGUUCCAUUGAACGGUAACACAUCUAUCCCACACCGCAAGGUAGAAACUGUGCCGACAUCUGGGACCCUUCCCUGGACCUGGCUUCAAGUGCAGUCAGCGCUACAUGGAGCCUGGCGAGUUUCACUUUCGCCUUCUAGAUGUCUCCUCAACCAUCCACUUCUCUCCAUUAUCAUGGCCCCAGUCCUCGCCAUUAUGAGAGGUACUAUAUAUAUAUAGAGAGAUUUUUUUAAAAAUUAGUUCUGGAGUAAACGUCUCCCUCAUCCAGACAUGUUGGCAAUGAACUGGGGGCCUUUAGUCCCAACACUCAGAAGGUAGAGGCAGGCAGAUCUCUGUAAGUUCGAGGCCAGCCUGGUCUACAGAGUGAGUUCCAGGACAGCCAGGGCUAUACAGAGAAACCCUGUCUCACAAAACAAAACAAAACAAAACAAAACAAAACAAAACAAAACAAAACAAAACAGGAAUAUGAGAAUUCUAAUAUUAUAAUAUUUUAUUAUUUAUUUGACAGCAAGAAGACAUUAGGAGAAUCCUUACCUUGUCAGUUGGUUAGCCUAAGAUAUAGUUUAUGUAGGAAAGAAGGACAAAGGACAAACACAUGGCUCUUUAUAUACUAACUGUCAACAUUGUUCAUUCUAUACCAUUCUUCCAAAGCAACCGCUAUUUUUCUUCAUUAAUAUCUACCUUAGAAGCCUGGGAAGGCUGCUUCCUGGGGCCAGGUAGGAACCCCAGGGGAGCAAUAGGGACACCAAUCCACCCACAAAACUUUUGACCCAAAACUUACCCUGUUUACAAGAAAUGCAAGAAUUGAAGAUGGAGCAAGGAAUGUCCAACCAAUUACCUGCCCAACUUGAGACUCAUCUCAUGGGCAAGCACCAAAUCUCUAACACUAUUAAUGAUACUGUUAUGCUUGCAGUUAGGAGCCUAGCAUGGCUGUUCUCUGAGAGGCCCCACCCACUAACUGACUCAGACAGAGGCAUACCCCACAGCCAAACAGAGGUGUGGAGCUUGAGGACUGUUAUGGAAGAACAGAAGAAAGGAUUGCAGCCACAAAGGGGAUAGGAAACUCCACAGGAAGACCAACAGAGUCAACUAACCUGGACCCUCAGGGCUCUCAAGGAUUGAACCACCAACCCAAGACCAUACACAGGCUGGACCUAGGCCUCCAUUCAGAUAUAGCAGAUGGAGAGCUUGGUCUUCAUGUGGGUUCUGAACAACUAGAACAGGGCUAUCCCAAAAGCUGUGAACAUAUCCCUGUCCGUGGGAUAUGUUCUUUUAGCUGGGCUGCCUUGUCUGGUCUCAGUGGGAGUGGAAGUGCCUAAUCUCUCAGAGACUUGAAGUGCCGGGAUUGGAAGGAUUCCCAGGGUGGGGCCCCAUUAGCUCAGAGGAGAAGAUGGGGGAAGAGGGGAAGGAGGAAGAAUUAUGAGAGGGAGUGACUAGGAGGGAGGGGGCAGUGAGCAGAAUGU